UUGGUGCUUGCAUCAUGAUUUACAUUUGAGUGAGUGGCGAACUGGUGAGUAACACGUGGGAAACCUGCCCAGAAGCGGGGGAUAACACCUGGAAACAGAUGCUAAUACCGCAUAACAACUUGGACCGCAUGGUCCGAGUUUGAAAGAUGGCUUCGGCUAUCACUUUUGGAUGGUCCCGCGGCGUAUUAGCUAGAUGGUGAGGUAACGGCUCACCAUGGCAAUGAUACGUAGCCGACCUGAGAGGGUAAUCGGCCACAUUGGGACUGAGACACGGCCCAAACUCCUACGGGAGGCAGCAGUAGGGAAUCUUCCACAAUGGACGAAAGUCUGAUGGAGCAACGCCGCGUGAGUGAAGAAGGGUUUCGGCUCGUAAAACUCUGUUGUUAAAGAAGAACAUAUCUGAGAGUAACUGUUCAGGUAUUGACGGUAUUUAACCAGAAAGCCACGGCUAACUACGUGCCAGCAGCCGCGGUAAUACGUAGGUGGCAAGCGUUGUCCGGAUUUAUUGGGCGUAAAGCGAGCGCAGGCGGUUUUUUAAGUCUGAUGUGAAAGCCUUCGGCUCAACCGAAGAAGUGCAUCGGAAACUGGGAAACUUGAGUGCAGAAGAGGACAGUGGAACUCCAUGUGUAGCGGUGAAAUGCGUAGAUAUAUGGAAGAACACCAGUGGCGAAGGCGGCUGUCUGGUCUGUAACUGACGCUGAGGCUCGAAAGUAUGGGUAGCAAACAGGAUUAGAUACCCUGGUAGUCCAUACCGUAAACGAUGAAUGCUAAGUGUUGGAGGGUUUCCGCCCUUCAGUGCUGCAGCUAACGCAUUAAGCAUUCCGCCUGGGGAGUACGGCCGCAAGGCUGAAACUCAAAGGAAUUGACGGGGGCCCGCACAAGCGGUGGAGCAUGUGGUUUAAUUCGAAGCUACGCGAAGAACCUUACCAGGUCUUGACAUACUAUGCAAAUCUAAGAGAUUAGACGUUCCCUUCGGGGACAUGGAUACAGGUGGUGCAUGGUUGUCGUCAGCUCGUGUCGUGAGAUGUUGGGUUAAGUCCCGCAACGAGCGCAACCCUUAUUAUCAGUUGCCAGCAUUAAGUUGGGCACUCUGGUGAGAC
rnacentral:rRNA from 1 species